rnacentral:rRNA from 1 species
UCCAGACUCCUACGGGAGGCAGCAGUGGGGGAUAUUGCACAAUGGGCGCAAGCCUGAUGCAGCGACGCCGCGUGGAGGAAGAAGGUUUUCGGAUUGUAAACUCCUGUCUUCAGGGACGAUAAUGACGGUACCUGAGGAGGAAGCCACGGCUAACUACGUGCCAGCAGCCGCGGAAAUACGUAGGUGGCAAGCGUUGUCCGGAAUUACUGGGUGUAAAGGGCGUGUAGGCGGGAAAGCAAGUCAGAUGUGAAAACCAUGGGCUCAACCUGGGGCCUGCAUUUGAAACUGUUUUUCUUGAGUACUGGAGAGGCAGACGGAAUUCCUAGUGUAGCGGUGAAAUGCGUAGAUAUUAGGAGGAACACCAGUGGCGAAGGCGGUCUGCUGGACAGCAACUGACGCUGAGGCGCGAAAGCGUGGGGAGCAAACAGGAUUAGAUACCCUCGUA